rnacentral:misc_RNA from 1 species
UUAAGAAGCCGAAAGGCUACUUAAAACCAUCGCGAACUCGUCCAAGUUGCUUCGGCGGCGCGGCCUCCCCUCACGGGGGCGCCGCAGCCCCGCCUCUCCGGAGGUAAGUGGGGCAGCCCGCCGGAGGUACGAAACUCUGUAUUAUAGUGGCAUCUCUGAGUAUAAAACAAAUAAGUUA